rnacentral:rRNA from 1 species
AAUAUUGGACAAUGGGGGGAACCCUGAUCCAGCAAUGCCGCGUGUGUGAAGAAGGCCUGAGGGUUGUAAAGCACUUUCAGUGGGGAGGAGGAUUGAUUGGUUAAGAGCUGAUUAAUUGGACGUUACCCCACAGAAGAAGCACCGGCUAACUCCGUGCCAGCAGCCGCGGUAAUACGGAGGGUGCGAGCGUUAAUCGGAAUUACUGGGCGUAAAGGGUGCGUAGGUUGUUUGAUAAGUUAUCUGUGAAAGCCCUGGGCUCAACCUGGGAAGGCCAGAUAAGACUGUUAGACUCGAGUAUGGGAGAGGGUAGUGGAAUUUCCGGUGUAGCGGUGAAAUGCGUAGAGAUCGGAAGGAACACCAGUGGCGAAGGCGGCUACCUGGCCUAAUACUGACACUGAGGCACGAAAGCGUGGGGAGCAAACAGGAUUAGAUACCCUGGUAG